AUGAACGCUAGCUACAGGCUUAACACAUGCAAGUCGAGGGGCAGCACAAGGAGCAAUCUGAGGUGGCGACCGGCGCACGGGUGAGUAACACGUAUGCAACCUGCCUGUAAGCGGGGAAUAACCCGUUGAAAGACGGACUAAUACCGCAUAAUACUAAAUUACUGCAUGGUAAUUUAUUUAAACAUUUAUGGCUUACAGAUGGGCAUGCGCAUGAUUAGCUAGUUGGAGAGGUAACGGCUCCCCAAGGCAACGAUCAUUAGGGGUUCUGAGAGGAAGGUCCCCCACACUGGUACUGAGACACGGACCAGACUCCUACGGGAGGCAGCAGUGAGGAAUAUUGGUCAAUGGACGAGAGUCUGAACCAGCCAAGUCGCGUGCAGGAAGAAUGUCCCUAUGGAUUGUAAACUGCUUUUGCAGGGGAAUAAAGUGCAUCACGUGUGAUGUUUUGUAUGUACUCUGCGAAUAAGGAUCGGCUAACUCCGUGCCAGCCGCAGC
rnacentral:rRNA from 1 species